GACGAACGCUGGCGGCGUGCUUAACACAUGCAAGUCGAACGGAAAGGCCCCUUUGGGGGUCCUCGAGUGGCGAACGGGUGAGUAACACGUGAGUAACCUGCCCUUGACUUCGGGAUAACUUCAGGAAACUGGGGCUAAUACCGGAUAGGAAUCCUUGCUGCAUGGUGGGGGUUGGAAAGCUUCGGCGGUUUUGGAUGGACUCGCGGCUUAUCAGCUUGUUGGUGGGGUAGUGGCUUACCAAGGCUUUGACGGGUAGCCGGCCUGGGAGGGCGACCGGCCACAUUGGGACUGAGGUACGGCCCAGACUCCUACGGGAGGCAGCAGUGGGGAAUAUUGCACAAUGGGCGGAAGCCUGAUGCAGCAACGCCGCGUGCGGGAUGACGGCCUUCGGGUUGUAAACCGCUUUCAGCAGGGGCGAAGCUUGUGGUGACGGUACCUGCAGAAGAAGCACCGGCUAACUACGUG
rnacentral:rRNA from 1 species